AGAAAUAAAAAACGUACCAGUUAUGACGUCAGGUGCGUCACCCUCCUCGCGGCGACGAACAGCAUAUACCAAAGCUGGCUGACGAGUCUCAGUGUUAACAGUACCCUUGCUAGGUGCCCCACGUCUAUGGCCAUUGCCACCGCGACCUCGGCCAUGACCUUUCGAUGGCGACGGUCCACCUCGAGCUGUUUGUACUGGUUGCACAACCCUUUGUUCAACCACUUGAGCCUGAGCUGGCCUCUUAGGACAAUCUCUGAUCUUAUGUUCCUUUGAUCCAUAAUGAAGACAAGCCCCAGAACGUUUCCAAC
rnacentral:lncRNA from 1 species